rnacentral:lncRNA from 1 species
GAAGUUGGCUGCAUUUUCAGAGAAGUUUUUGGACAUCCUUCUGCCUUUAUUAAGGAUGGACAUAUUUCUUUGUUUGGAAAUUAAGAUGUUCUCUGCUUCUAGGACACCAUGGUGAAAAUCUGUAAUUAAGGACGCUGGUAAUAAUAUAUGGAUUCUGUUGGAGAUAGAGUAUCAUACAAGUAUUGGAUGAAAUAUUUACCUGGCAAACAGACUUGCUGCUACAUUUCAAGUGACCUUGUCUUGGUGUACAGAAUACCAUCCCAUGAGGCAGUGCUGAGACACAGCUAUUAAGAAGAGUGAGCCCUGCAAAGAAGACUUUCCAACUUUACAGUAAGGUAGGACCUGUCAGAUACAACCUCUCAUAGAUGCACAAAGCUAGAUCAUCUUUCCUU